UGCGCCUGCACGUGUUAUCUCUUCGCCGUAGCUGCUGCUGUAUUUGUGUCUCUGUGUGUACAUGUGGCUGCACGUGUUGUCUCUUCGUCGUAGCUGCUGCUGUAUUUGUGUCUCUGUGCUGCUGACCCGUACAUGCUGCUGCGCUGCUUUGUUGCUGACCCGUACAUGCUGCUGCGCUGCUUUGUUGUUGACACGCGCACCUUUUUGUGCUGAGUACACCACCUUUUGUGCUGACGAGGGCACCAAUUUCUGAUAUCAUGUUUUCCUUUUGCCAUGUCGUCAUCAGUUGUCCGACGGUCGUCGUCAGUUGUCAGUCAUUCGUUGUCAGAGUCAGACGUUUGUUGACAGUCGUCAGUCAUUCGUUGUCAGUGUUAGUUCUCCAUUAUGAGUUCUUCCGUCGCCGCUUGAAGUAAACUAUGAAAAGCUCUCUCUCUAGCUCUAGAGAAAAACCACUGACUAGUUCGUUUUGAGGUGUGGCGUGGCGAGGAUAGAAGAGGCAGUUCGUUCUCAACCUUCCGAGACGACAUUUGGCGCCCAACUAAUCGAACCCACGACCCUGAAGCUCGUCGCUCUCCGGCCGGUGUUUUUCGUUUUCCUCUUCGCGUUCUCGCCAUGGCUCCGCUUUGCUGCGUCUGUUCAACCCUUUCCUAGAUCCUCGGAGCUCCUACUCAGGUGAGCAUGCCUUUGUAAUUGUCUGCUCUGCUAUGCGUAAUGUGUUGCCGUACCUUGUAUUCGAUUUCGAAUUUUCAAAUAAUUGUUUUGCGUCGGGUGACUCGGGUCCCGUGGAACCUUGUUCUCUUGUGUUCGAGUGUGUACUCGUACUCGAGUCGUAGUAUAGUGUAGUCUUGCUGCUCGUUGGAAGUUCGCCCCGUUGUGUUAGUUGUGUUGCUCUGACUACCCUGUACGCCUCGUACUGUACUGUUGUGUAUGAAAAUUUCAAACUUCUGUGCGUGCGCUACUCGUUCGAAUCUGGAAUUACUUGUGUUUGCAUGUUCGUCGUGCAUUCAGCAUGGGUAGCUUUGAUCUCGUCUUGUGUUGUGCACUUGUGCUUGUCACGGAGUUGCCGUCGGACUGCUCCGAUAGUGUGACUGUGUCGCGUGAUUUGUUUAGAUGUCCACCUGAACGUUCUCGAGGUGCUGCCUCGUAUGUAGUCGAUCCAUAUUGUUUUGUUUCGUGUUUUUACCGUUUUAGUAGUAGUUUCUCCAUGUUCUGUGUACAUGGUGUAGAGCGUUGUCAGGCUCGGUCAUGCACUGUCAACAAAGUAGGAAAGCUGUUGGCUUCCGGUUUGGUGGGAGGUGUGAACUUCAUGUAGGAUUCUCGUUCUUGAUCCAGGUUGAAUUUUUUUUGUGAGCGUAUGGUUUUGUAAUUAUUGUGUUUCGGCAUAUGGGUUUCUCUUGUUCGCCUGGGUGGGCGUCUGAUCAUGGUGAGCCACGGUCUGCUUGGUGGUCUGCAGGGAUCCUGCGCUUUUUUGUAUCGGUUUGCCUUGCGGGUGUUAUGGUUUCCGGGUGUUGCUGGUUGGCCCUUGUGCGUCCCAAUCGGUCCCUGACAGUUUCUUUUCUUCAGUUUUUUGGUUUUGCGAGCGGAUGUACUAUAAGUUCCGUGUUUUCAGGUUCAAUCCCUGCGGUUUUUUUCAGGUUCGAUCCCUGUGGGUUUUUUCAGGGUAGCGCCCUGUGGUUUUUCUUCAUUAUCUUUUGCGUAUUGGUAACCGAUUUGUUUGUGUGUCCUCAAUGGUGUCCUCACUGAUUAAUUGCUCCUGUUUCAAUCGACGUGUUCUUCCUGGCUGUUCUUCCCUUCCUUCGUGUGCUUUUCUGAUUUUUGGUGAUGGCUGAGAUGUUUGCGUCAGUCCUUCUCUCUUUCUGUGUGUGUCCUGUGAUUCUCGGAGUUUCUGUAGCGCCAUCGGUUUUCGGACAGCCGGCCAGUGUGCGUCCUGCUGCCCCAGUCUUCUCGGUCGGUGCGUACUGUCGGUCUCGCCGCUCCUGGAAGCGUCGCUGGGUCCGUCGGCAUAACCUGUUUUCUCAUGCAUUUGUACUUUUGUUUUGUCAUGACUGGUGGAUGGGUGGCGUACUAGGUUGGUGCUGUUCUAAGAAUAAAAGAUCCAAAGGGACAAACACAGGUCGAACAGCUCGCCAGCCGGGGUCCUCUGCAAAAAUCUGUUGCUUGCAGGUUCCGUUGAUGGUGCACAGUUUUGCGGGGCUCCCGACUGGUGUUAACCCUCCUGGCCUACUCGUCAUGCGUUCAACAGUUGUGGCCCACCUCUUUUGUGUUUUAUUGUCGCCUGUUUAUGUUGCUUCAUAUUUCAUUUCCCCUGUCUUUCUGUCUUCUUCUCCGGUCUGUCUCCUUCCGUUUAUUAUACACUUCACUUUUGCUUCCAUCCACAGGAGUGGAUGUCUUUUUUUGGUAGGGGAUAGUGUUGUACCUGCGCCUGCACGUGUUAUCUCUUCGCCGUAGCUGCUGCUGUAUUUGUGUCUCUGUGUGUACAUGUGGCUGCACGUGUUGUCUCUUCGUCGUAGCUGCUGCUGUAUUUGUGUCUCUGUGCUGCUGACCCGUACAUGCUGCUGCGCUGCUUUGUUGCUGACCCGUACAUGCUGCUGCGCUGCUUUGUUGUUGACACGCGCACCUUUUUGUGCUGAGUACACCACCUUUUGUGCUGACGAGGGCACCAAUUUCUGAUAUCAUGUUUUCCUUUUGCCAU